rnacentral:rRNA from 1 species
CGCAUCUGUGCAUGCAGCAUAUCAAUAAGCGGAGGAAAAGAAACUAACAAGGAUUCCCUCAGUAACGGCGAGUGAAGCGGGAAGAGCUCAAAUUUGAAAUCUUGAAAGGUCACCUUUCACGAAUUGUAGUUUAAAGAAGUGUUUUCUGUUACGAUCGUAAUAUAAGUUCUUUGGAAUAGGACAUCACAGAGGGUGAGAAUCCCGUCUAUGAUUGCGAUUUGUAGCUUUGUGAUACACUUUCAAAGAGUCGGGUUGUUUGGGAAUGCAGCCCAAAACGGGAGGUAAAUUUCUUCUAAGGCUAAAUAUUGGCGAGAGACCGAUAGCGAACAAGUACCGUGAGGGAAAGAUGAAAAGAACUUUGAAAAGAGAGUUAAAUAGUACGUGAAAUUGUCAAAAGGGAAGCGUUUAACACCAGUGUUGUUUUCUGAAAAUCAACCUCUGUUAGCUUUAUGCAUGUUUGUUUAGACCUAAUCAGGCUAUCUUGCAUGUUCUAUUGUUUGCAGUGGUGCACUUUUCAGUUUACAGGUCAACAUCAGUUUUUUUUACCGUAAAAAAGUUAAAGAAAGGUAGCUCAUGGCUCCGGUCGUGAGUGUUAUAGUCUUUUUCCUAUGCGGUAGGAGAGACUGAGGUCUGCAGUGUAGGCUAUUUGGCUAGAUACUCAGGUGCUAUGUGAUACCAUUUCAUAAACAACUUGUUGAUUAUGUUUUGUCUAUUGCAUACUCGCUUGUACUAUCAUACCUACGCUUAGGAUGUUGACGAUCAGCUGAGCGC